UACGUAGGGGGCAAGCGUUGUCCGGAAUCAUUGGGCGUAAAGCGCGUGUAGGCGGUCCGGUAAGUCCGCUGUGAAAGUCGGGGGCUCAACCCUCGGAUGCCGGUGGAUACUGUCGGGCUUGAGUACGGAAGAGGCGAGUGGAAUUCCUGGUGUAGCGGUGAAAUGCGCAGAUAUCAGGAGGAACACCGGUGGCGAAGGCGGGACUCUGGGCCGAUACUGACGCUGAGGAGCGAAAGCGUGGGGAGCAAACAGG
rnacentral:rRNA from 1 species